CGUUCGAAUUCCCGGAUUGAAAUUAUUGUUCUAACAGUGAUAGGUGUCCUGACUCUCAUGCUUGCUGGUCUGGUGCUUUUGUGGAGAAGCAAAAGAAAGUUAUUCAUAAAAAGACUUGUGAACUCCAGUAAUGGCCUUACGAUCUUCUCAAAUGCGCAGAUAAAAAAAGCAACAGGAAAUUUCUCUGAAAAACUUGGAGAAGGAGGUUUCGGCUGUGUUUUCAAGGGGGCAUUGCCAGGAACCUCUCUGGUGGCUGUCAAAAAGCUAAAAGACCUUGGACAGGGGGAGAAGCAAUUCCGAGCGGAAGUGCAGACCAUUGGAAUGAUUCAACACAUUAAUCUUGUUCAUUUAUUUGGUUACUGUGCUGAGGGAAGUAAAAGGUUGCUAGUAUAUGAGUACAUGGAGAAUGGAUCUUUGAACUCUCAUCUUUUUUCAAAGCAUUCUGUAAAAUUAAUCUGGGAGAUCCGUUACCGCAUAGCACUUGGAGCAGCAAGAGGCUUGGCUUAUCUGCAUGAAGAGUGCAAGGAUUGCAUCAUACACUGUGACAUGAAGCCAGACAAUGUACUCCUUGAUGCACAUUUCUGUCCCAAGAUUGCAGACUUUGGUAUGGCGAAACUUCUCGGCCGAGAUUUCAGCAGGGCACUGACGACAAUGAGGGGGACCAUCGGAUAUCUUGCACCGGAGUGGAUCUCGGGGCUUCCGAUCACACGUAAGUCGGAUGUUUACAGCUAUGGGAUGAUGCUUCUUGAAAUCAUAUCGGGGCGACGGAAUUCAGAGAAAAUUAAGGAGGGGAAGUUUACCUACUUUCCCAUCUUUGCUGCACUGAAGGUGAAUGAGGGGGAUAUUAUGUGCCUGUUGGAUAGUGGGCUGGAGGGUGACAUGGACGUGGAACAGCUGGGCCGAGCUUGCAGAGUGGCAUGCUGGUGUAUUCAAGAUGCAGAGGAUCACAGGCCCACAAUGGGGCAAGUUGUGUACAUGCUAGAGGGUGUUCUGGAUGUCGAAAUACCUCCUGUUCCGAGGUCACUGCAGAAUUUUGUGGGCAUGGAGGAUUCCACUUACAGUACAGACUUGUACAUCCUCUGA
rnacentral:rRNA from 1 species